rnacentral:rRNA from 1 species
UCAGGACGAACGCUGGCGGCGUGCCUAACACAUGCAAGUCGAGCGGGGACAUGCGACGGAAGCGAAGUUUCGGAUGGAGCGGAAGAUGUAUGUUCUAGCGGCGGACGGGUGAGUAACGCGUGAGCAACCUGUCCCUUACAGGGGGAUAACACAGCGAAAGUUGUACUAAUACCGCAUAAGACCACGGAUUCACAUGGAUCAGGGGGUCAAAGGAGCAAUCCGGUAAGGGGUGGGCUCGCGUCCGAUUAGAUAGUUGGUGAGGUAACGGCCCACCAAGUCGACGAUCGGUAGCCGACCUGAGAGGGUGAUCGGCCACAUUGGGACUGAGACACGGCCCAAACUCCUACGGGAGGCAGCAGUGGGGAAUAUUGGGCAAUGGGGGAAACCCUCGACCCAGCAACGCCGCGUGAGGGAAGAAGGUUUUCGGAUCGUAAACCUCUGUCCUUGGUGAAGAGUAAGAGACGGUAGCCAAGGAGGAAGCCCCGGCUAACUACGUGCCAGCAGCAGC